rnacentral:rRNA from 2 species
UCCGUGUCUAUUGUACCCUGUUGCUUCGGCGGGCCCGCCGCUUGUCGGCCGCCGGGGGGGCGCCUCUGCCCCCCGGGCCCGUGCCCGCCGGAGACCCCAACACGAACACUGUCUGAAAGCGUGCAGUCUGAGUUGAUUGAAUGCAAUCAGUUAAAACUUUCAACAAUGGAUCUCUUGGUUCCGGCAUCGAUGAAGAACGCAGCGAAAUGCGAUAACUAAUGUGAAUUGCAGAAUUCAGUGAAUCAUCGAGUCUUUGAACGCACAUUGCGCCCCCUGGUAUUCCGGGGGGCAUGCCUGUCCGAGCGUCAUUGCUGCCCUCAAGCCCGGCUUGUGUGUUGGGUCGCCGUCCCCCUCUCCGGGGGGACGGGCCCGAAAGGCAGCGGCGGCACCGCGUCCGAUCCUCGAGCGUAUGGGGCUUUGUCACAUGCUCUGUAGGAUUGGCCGGCGCCUGCCGACGUUUUCCAACCAUUCUUUCCAGGUUGACCUCGGAUCAGGUAGGGAUACCCGCUGAACUUAAGCAUAUC